rnacentral:hammerhead_ribozyme from 1 species
AUCCAGCUGACGAAUCCAAAAUAGGAUGAAGCGUGCGUUCUGAAU